UCGAAUUUUUAAAUUUUGGAGGAUGGCCUUUUGAGUUUCGGGAUAGAGUAUGUCUUCUAAAUGACCCAAUUAUCAAUAACUACAUCCUGAAGCUAGGUAAUACUUCAAAGUAUGUGAUAAUUUGGAUUAUAUUGUUGAUUACAUUUUAAUUUUAUGGAUUUCAAGACAAGGUCACACCUUUUGUAUGUGAUAAUUUGGCGGGAGUGACAAAGGUGGUAUCGGAGCAUGAUUUAAGGAUUAUUAAGAUAUUUGAUUCAUUUGAUGUGCAUAAUUAUAUUGAGGUUUAGUAAAUUAUAUAGAGAUCGAUGAAAAUUUUAUUUGAUGUCUUCUAGGUAUCUAGGAUGACAUCGACAUUUGGUCUUCUUGCUUCGUCUUCUCGUGGGUCCUAUUGUCACCUCCAUGCUCUCGUUGCGUGUCCUCGUGUAAUUACAUCGUAAUCACAUUCAUGCAAACCCUAAUAAUAAAAAUAUCAUCAAUGAUAUUAUGAUUAUUAGAUGAAAAUUACGAUUUGAUUGUUAUAAAAAACGUGCAGGACUCGGUGAUAUUGAUGGUCUCUAUCUAUGUGCAAUCUGAUCUCAUUCACAAAUUUAAGAAGGAUAACUAUGUGAUCCACAUUUAAUCUGCUUGAGGAAUGAAUUAGAAAAAUGAUUGAAGUCGAGUUUUCACAUUUUAGAGGAUGGCCUUUGGAGUUUUGAGAUAGAGUAUGUGUUCUAAAUGACCCAAUUAUCAAUAUCCAAAUCCUGAAGCAAGGUCAUAAUUCAAAAUACAUCAUGCAUUCUAGUAGCACUAAGAUGUAUAGGGUUCUCCAAAGUCAUUAUUAGUGAGAAGGUUUGAAGAAGGUGAUUGUGAUGUAUGUUUCAAAGUGUUUUUGACUUGUCGGCAAAUCAAAGCAGAAACUUGCUACAACCGACGUAAGCUUGAUAAGAGAAGAGAAGAGGAAUUGAAGUAGAAGAAGUUUUGCUUUGGCUGAAUGUUUCGGAUCAACUCCUCAUAUUUGUGAUUCAAAUGUUUAUGAGGCUAGUGUUAAAUGUUUUUGUUGUAUAAGUACACUUUGUGCCUAAUUAAAUGUCGAUGGUAAAUAUGAACUUAUGUGUUUUAUGGAGGUUUUAAAAGACUUCUUAUGUUUAGGAUUUUGGAAUGAUAAGUUUAAUUCGUAUAAUGAUACGACCUCGUGAUCAAUGUUAGUUUUGUGAUUGUAUAAAUUCCCACACUUAUGGAUUUUAUGAUGUGGUUUCGUAUAGAUGAGUUGGCUUUGGAUUUUAUGAGUCUUUGAGUGUUGUGUCGUAUGAUUAUAACUACAAAGUCUUAUGAAUUGUGGAUUAUGGGUGUGAAUUAUGACUUCGAAUGAUUUUUCCAUAGAAUAUAUGGUUAGCAUUUAUCUCAUUGUUUCAUUAUUUAUUAUUGUUAAUGUGGUCUGUGUCAAUUAUUUAAAUCUCAAUUAUUUUUCUAUUUUAGUAAUAUUUAUUCGGGCCCAAGCAGAGCUCGGCUCAGACACCGGUCUAAUUCAAUUACAAUUGGGUCAAACCUGGGUCGAGUUAGUUUGGAUCUCUAGUUUGAACCAAAUAAUAAUCGUGACACCACAAAACCCCGCCCCUUACCGACCUCACAACAAGCGCUCGAGCGCAUCCGUGCCCUAAACACAGCGACUCUCUCCCGAGCGGCGACUCUCUUUCUCCCCAACGGAACUGCGGCGUUUCCUCGGCGAGUGGUUGUCUUCCUCUCCAUCGGCGAACAGCGGAAGCAACAGCGGUGUCUUCCUCCGGGGAGUUCUUGGCUGCGGUGUUUUCCUCGGUAGAUUUUGUUUUGUGUGUGGAUUAGUAGACAAUAUUCAAUAGUAGCCAAAUCGAAUUCCUAGGUUCUUUCGAUGAUUCCUUUCACCCUCCGAAGAUUCUAUGUCCUAUCUCGGAUCCUCUCUCCACCACCUCAUCUUCAAUCUAGGUUAUUUUGGAUCCUCCAAGUAGCUCUUGGCGUUGCGACAUUUUCCUUAGUGAAACGACAAACGACGACAUCCGUUCCCCAAUCCUCCUCCCUCCUACCUCUUCCACCUUUUGUCGUAGCUCCUCUCUUGGUUUAGGGUAUGGAUCAAGAUGUAUGCCGAUAAGGUCAUCACCAGAAGGAAGAGGCCCAUCAAGGAGCACCUCAAAGAUGGCAUGAUAAGGGCCAUUUUGGGCCAUGUUGUCGAACGCCAAAAGGCUCAGCAGGGGACCCUAUCGGACCUUUCUUGUUAUCGCCAAGAAUGGAAGACCGAAAUCAGAUUCUUUUUAUGGAAAAAACUUCUCUUGAUCCCCCUAGAUUUUAUCCUUAACCACCCUUGUAUAUAAGAUUUUGAGUGUUUUUAAUGUUUAUAUCUAGGCUUAGGGUUUUUUCUUUGGUUUUUUGUUCUGAUUUUGAUUUUGAUUUUUUUUUUUGUAGGCAUCAAGUGCCAGGCAAAUCAGGUGUGGGUGAUGAUUUAGGUGUACACUGUCUUGCAGUAAGCAUCACGUCUUGAACUUGAGUGAUUUUAUUUGUUCUUUGUUUUCUUCUUUUUUACAACUAUAUUGUAUGGCUUUCUCUUUCAUGAGAAAUUGGGUAACAACAAAUUAAUGGGACUUUUCAGAGUUUGAUGUAAAUGGAUCUUGAAAUUUUUUACUAUGUUCCAUAUGAUAAUAUUAAUUACUCAUUUGGUUGCAUUCACUUGUUCACAAACAUUGGUUUAGCAACAGUUCAUUCUAUAACAUGACUAGCACUAAUUUUGAGGUCAUUUUAUGUUCCACUCAUCGUCAUAUAGUGGUGUAAUGCUGGAAUACUACCUGAAGGGUUCUAAAUUCUAACAAAAUGAUGUACACAUAUCUGUUGUCUUAAAUGCGAAGAAAAUAUGUGUUUGUCAAUUUGUUGUAAUAUCAUUCUAUUUUCUAAUUAUCUAUUUUCUAAUUUGUUGUAAUAUGGGACUUUUCAGAGUUUGAUGUAAAUGGAUCUUGAAAUUUUUGACUAUGUUCCAUAUGAUAAUAUUAAUUACUCAUUUGGUUGCAUUCACUUGUUCACAAACAUUUGUUUAGCAACAGUUCAUUCUAUAACAUGACUAGCACUAAUUUUGAGGUCAUUUUAUGUUCCACUCAUCGUCAUAUAGUGGCGUAAUGCUGGAAUACUACCUGAAGGGUUCUAAAUUCUAACAAAAGGAUGUACUUAUAUCUGUUGUCUUAAAUGCGAAGAAAAUAUGUGUUUGUCAUUUGUUGUAAUAUCAUUCUAUUUUCUAAUUAUCUAAGCACAUUUAUAGGUGGUGAUGUUACAACUUCUACAAGGUCUUUCAUGUUUUCCGUUUCCUAAUUUGCUGGUAGUAAAUUGUUUUGUUAUUAUAAGCUUUUGUACCAUUUGUAAGAAUUAUUUACCAACUUAUUCAAUUAGUGCUACUCAAAGUUAUCCUUAUCUUAAAUUGUAAUAUUUGUUUAUUUUGUGAUAAAAGAAGCGACACUAUGCACAUAACAAUAGCAAUAAAACUAAUUGGACUGUAUAGUCUCAUGAUUAUGUCUUUGUCUCUUGAAAUAUGCAUAGUUCUCCACUUUGCUUUUUCUUAAUCUAUUUAUGGAUGCUCAUGCCAACCUUAAAUCUGUAUUUGGGUCUCACUACUACAGCCUUGUGGUUCACAUGGCUUUAGAAAAUGGUUGAGUGUUGUGUUCCUUUCAAUUCAUUCUCUCUCUCUAAAAUUGAUGGAGGAAUUAGAUUGUUAUGAAGUUGGGAAUUAAGGUUUCACACCAGCCUCUUGCAAAUUGUAAUUUUGAGUUAGAUUGACAUGCAAUGUUUGUUAACUAUUUAGACAAAGAAGACUUGCAAGUGUGGUUGGUACAAGACAAUCAAGGUUAUUUAGCUUGGACAUGAAGGAGCUUUUGAGGGUCAACUAAUCGAUGAUUUUUACAUUCCUAAACUCACAAAAUUAGAUAAGUCUUUAUCAUCUUAAAAAAUGUUGAAGUUGCAAUCUUCUAUAUGCAUCAACAUGCAUUUGAUGUAGAUCAUUAUCUGCACAUGUUAAUUUAUACCCGUGGAUAUAUAUAUCAUAUACUUUAUUUGACAUGUAAAACCAAACAACAAGAAUAGUGAUUAAACUUGUAGGGUACUUUAUGAAAUUUUUUAAUUAAAAAAUAAGGAGGUGGUACUUUCCAUAACUUUGUAGAAGAAUAAGUAGUUUUGUUGAUUUGUUUAUCUAGUGAGGAUUAAUAUAGUCGAAGGGUCAGGCGCUAAAAGAUACCAAAGUGCUAAAAUGCCCAUGACAUUAGGUGUGUGCUUAAGUGAAAUUAGACACUCCCAAAUAUUAAAUCUAAAAGACAUGAUAAAUUUAAUCUUUUCCAAAACACUAGGAAGUGGCUGUGAGUUGUUAUUAGUUGGCAUGGGAAGAGGGAGGAGGUAUGAUAGAGGGUUGUCGGUUGGGACGGGUGAUUGUGGGUUUAUCGAUUGGGAGGGGAAAAGGGGAAGAAGGACAAGGCAUGAGAGAGGGUUUUUCUUGAUGGUGCUCUUAGCCUCUCUCAACAUAUUGAGGAGCUUAGGGAGAGUCAUCUCAAGCUUGCUCAUGUUUAAAUUCAUAAUGAACUGAGAAAAGGAGUCUGGGAAGGUCUAAAGCAUAAGAUCUACACGCAGGUUAUUCUCUAGGACCAUUCCUAGACCCGUGAGCUUCUUUAUCCACUCAAUCAUUUUACGAACAUGGUUCUAAACCGGUAUCCUCUAAGUCAUCCUAGCGCUAAAGAGAGAAUUUUGCAUUUAUCUUUUUAUGUUGUCUCUGUAACUCAGGAGUUAUGAAGCUCAAUAUGUAAUGCGGAGCAAGAGUGGAAUCGUUUAAGUACCUAACGUAACGAGCGAUCUCAUCCUUACUUGUCCCUUCCUCGGGAGUGGGCAUCAUUGUGUCAAGGGUGUUUGUGCUUUUCUCCACAUAAGAAUGAUUCUCUAGUUGCAUAGCUAAUCCAUGUAAUUUGGAGCAGUGAGGCGGUUGACAUCAUGUAUGUCAUAUAAGGGAUUUAAAAGCGACAUGCUUUUGACCAGUAAAAAGAUGUAGCAGAAAAAUAAAUAUCUCGCAAAACACAUAACUCCCUUUGAUACGUGAAUCGGAGGCCCUCGGCAUAUCUCUAGAGGGGAUCAUGAUCCAAUCGGUGCCUUAGUGUAACCUCACAGGACUCGACCAAUCAUAGUUAGCUCGAAAUGGCAUGUAACUCUUGUCGAUCAUAACUCCUUGUGAUUCUUGUCCUAUUCUGCCUUCGAAACAUCAUAGCCUGAUUCGAUGAUAUACCCUCGAGGGUCUCCCCUUACAAAGGCAUUGUAAAAUUUUGCAAGAAAGAAAAGUUAAGCCUAGGGUUUAUUGGACCUUUUGAGGUCAUUGAGAUGAUUGGUUCUAUUUCUUACAGGCUUUGCCUUGCAACCAUCUUUAUGUCACAUCCAUGAUAUAUUUUAUGUUUUAAUGCUCAGAAGAUAUAUAUCAUAUUUCUCUCAUAUCAUCAAGUAUGAGUUGAUUGCAAUCGAAAAAGACUUGUCUUACAUAGAAGAGCUCACUCUGAUCAUUGAUAAAAAAAGAGACAAUCCUAAGAAAGAGAAGAUCCUAAGAAAUAGAGUCAUGCCUCUCGUUAAAGUAAUUUGGAAGCAUCAUUUACGAUUGAUAAGACAUGGGAACUAGAGGUAGAAAUAUUGAUGGACUCUAUCUAGUUGCAAUAUGAUCUCAUUCAACAAAUUUAAAAAGGACAACUAUGAGAUCCACAUUUAAUCUACUUGAGAAACGAUGUAGAAAAGGGUUUAAAGCUGAAUUUUCAAAUUUUAGAGGAUGACCUAUUGAGAUUUGAGAUAGAGUAUGUGUUCUAAAAGACCCAGAUAUCAAGAACCAAAUCCUAAAUGAUUGUUAUAAUUUAAUGUACACCAUGCAUCUCGGUAGCACUGAGAUGUAUAGAGAUCUUUAAAUUCAUUAUUUGUGGGAAGGGAUGAAGAAGGAGAUAGUAAUGUAUGAUUCAAAUUGUUUGACUUGUUAACAAAACAAAGCAGAACACUAGAGACUAGAGUUAUAUUGCAAGUUGCAACCGUUAGAUAUUCUUGAAUGGAAAUGGAAAUAUGUUUCCAUGGAUUUUGUUUCAGGACUACCCAGAACCUCGAGAAAGCAUGUUGUUAUUUGGGUUAUCAUUGAUCGGUUUACCAAACCUACAAAUUUCCUAUUGAUAAAUUUGACUUAUUCUCUUGAUAAGCUUGCAGAUUUAUAUAUCAAUGAAAUAGUAAGACUUCAUGGUGUUCAAAAGAGAUCAUCUCUAAUAGAGACUUCAUAAUUCUUUCAAGAUUAUGGAGAAGGUUACAAAAAUAUAUUGCACUAAAGUCAAGUUUAGCACUGCUUGUCACUCUCAAACCGAUGGUCAAUCAUAAAGAACCAUUCAAACUCUUGAAGAUUUGCUUAGAGCUUAUAUCAUGGAUUGGAAAGGUGAUUGGUAUUAAGAUAUGUCUCUUGUUGAAUUCACUUAGAAUAGUAGUUACCAUUCGAGCAUUCAAAUGGCUCCUUAUGAAGCUUUGUUUGGGUGAAGGUACAGAAUGCCUAUAUGUUAGGAGGAAGUUGGCAAUAGAAAGUUGUUUGCACCAGACAAUGUACAAGAGACUACUGAAAAGAUUCGAGUUCUAUGAAAAAGUCUAAAGAUUGCUCGAAGUCGCCAUUAGAACUAUGUUGACAAUCGAAGACGAGAUAUUAAAUUUCAAGUAGGUGAUUUUCUAUUCCUGAAGGUCUCCCCUUACAAAGGCAAUGUAAGAUUUUGGAAGAAAGAAAAGUUAAGCCUAAGGUUUAUUGGACCUUUUGAGGUCAUUGAGAGGAUCGAUUCUAUUGCUUACAGGCUUUUCCUUGUAACCAUCUUUAUUUCACAUCUAUGAUAUAUUUCAUGUUUUAUUACUCAGAAAAUAUAUAUCAGAUUCCUCUCAUAUCUUCAAGUAUGAGCCAAUUGCGAUCGAAAAAGACUUGUUUUACAUGGAGGAGCCUACUUAGGCCAUUAAUAAGAAAG
rnacentral:lncRNA from 1 species